GCACCCUGGAGGACUGUGUGGCUUGGAGACCUACUGCUUCCAUAGCUCCAAGCUUUUCCACGAAGGAACGCACUCCACUUUGAAGAGACAAGCCACUGGAAUUGGGCUCUGCUUCUGCAAGCCUAGCAUUCUCCACCCCUGCCUGGUAGAGCUUGGCUCAGGCUUCCAUCCAAGACAGAAGCAAUUGAUUCGAAGUGCUAAUAUUCCCAGGAUUUUAAACAGUGGCAAAGCUCAUUGGUGAAGAAUACAGCUCUGGGUUCUUUUCCAGUUGUGAAGCAGCCAUCCGAUCUGUGGUCCACACAGUGUCGCCAGAAGUCACCACUGCCCGUUCCUGUUUAAAGAUCAAGCCAGGCUCCAGCUCAGUGCUUUGCUCCCUGGGUAUGUGGACAGAUGAGCCAUCCUGCAAGUGCGGGACUUUGAGUGACCUCCUGGCCUCUUCCCAUGAGAUGCCCCUCGUGCCGUCAGCUCUGGUUGUAACCAACAGCCAUAGCUGCCCAUGUUGCAAAACGUCCCUUGUUCCUGAAUUGAAACCACUUGUCUAGCUUGAGAUUUUCGCAUAAUAACAAAUUGUCUAACAUCCUGCUGGGAGUUCUUUUCACGUGGACUCAUUAAAGAGAUUGUAAGUGAAAGCAGAUGCAUAAAUACAAAAACCUAUGAUUUUCUCCAAAAUAAAUAAAUCCGGGUCUACG
rnacentral:lncRNA from 1 species